rnacentral:rRNA from 1 species
UACGAAGGGGGCUAGCGUUGUUCGGAAUUACUGGGCGUAAAGCGUGCGCAGGCGGCUGCUCAAGUCAGGGGUGAAAGCCCAGAGCUCAACUCUGGAAUUGCCUUUGAGACUGAGUGGCUUGAGUACGGGAGAGGUGAGUGGAAUUCCCAGUGAUAGAGGUGAAAUUCGUAGAUAUUGGGAAGAACACCGGUGGCGAAGGCGGCGACCUGGUCCUUGACUGACGCUGGAGGCGACGAAAGCGUGGGGAGCAAACAGG